ACGAACGCUGGCGGCGUGCUUAACACAUGCAAGUCGAACGGAAAGGCCCUGCUUUUGUGGGGUGCUCGAGUGGCCAACGGGUGAGUAACACGUGAGUAACCUGCCCUUGACUUUGGGAUAACUUCAGGAAACUGGGGCUAAUACCGGAUAGGAGCUCCUGCUGCAUGGUGGGGGUUGGAAAGUUUCGGCGGUUGGGGAUGGACUCGCGGCUUAUCAGCUUGUUGGUGGGGUAGUGGCUUACCAAGGCUUUGACGGGUAGCCGGCCUGAGAGGGUGACCGGCCACAUUGGGACUGAGAUACGGCCCAGACUCCUACGGGAGGCAGCAGUGGGGAAUAUUGCACAAUGGGCGGAAGCCUGAUGCAGCAACGCCGCGUGCGGGAUGACGGCCUUCGGGUUGUAAACCGCUUUCGCCUGUGACGAAGCGUGAGUGACGGUAAUGGGUAAAGAAGCACCGGCUAACUACGUG
rnacentral:rRNA from 1 species